rnacentral:rRNA from 1 species
UACGUAGGGGGCAAGCGUUGUCCGGAUUCAUUGGGCGUAAAGGAGCGUGUAGGCGGCCAGGCAGGUCGCUGUGAAAACUCGAGGCUCAACCUCGAGAUGUCGGUGGAAACCGUCUGGCUAGAGUCCGGAAGAGGAGAGUGGAAUUCCGGUGUAGCGGUGAAAUGCGCAGAUAUCGGGAAGAACACCCGUGGCGAAGGCGGUUCUCUGGGCCUUACCUGACGCUGAGGAGCGAAAGCGUGGGGAGCGAACAGG